AGCAUAUCAAUAAGCCGAGGAAAAGAAACUAACAUGGAUUCCCUUCGUAGCGGCGAGCGAAGAGGGAAAAGCCCAAAACCGAAUCCUAGUAGCUUUGCUAUUAGGAAAUGUGGUGUAUGGUUCAUACUUAACGGCAUGUCGGAGCUGUCAUAAGUCCACUUGAUUGUGGCUCCUAGCCCAUAGAGGGUGUAAGGCCCGUAAUGGCAGUACGGCAUGUUCUUUUGUGUGUUCCAAGAGUCGGGUUGUUNGCGAUUGCAGCCCAAAGAGGGUGGUAAACUCCAUCCAAGGCUAAAUACUUCACAAGUCCGAUAGCAAACAAGUACCAUGAGGGAAAGUUGAAAAGAACUUUGAAGAGAGAGUUCAAUAGUACGUGAAACCGCUCGGGGUAUAAAGCCAGAUUGAUGCCGAAGGUCGUACCGCGCGUUAGCUUUUCUACUCGUUCAUGCUGGUGGGUUAUGUCAUCCGUAAGGAGGCUGCCUGCUGGUGUGUUGCGGCUGGUUGAGUUAAUACCAUGGGGAUGUUGCUUCCUGAUCUGUAGUGUAGCACUCGAUGGGGCUGCUGGAAGGUAACUCGCGGUUUCUGUGAGAACUUAUAGCCGGUGGUCUUGUUGUUUGCAGCUACAGUGAAAACCGAUCCAUAANUGCGGAUUCUGGUUUGUUGUUUUGUGAGGCUGAUUGANNGCUCUUCGGANACUUUGANAGGUGUCCACNUUGNGGCANGNCUGGNUNNUNNGNNNNUUAAAGAUUGGGGUUUNNNAGUAGGNNGAGAAUCUGNNCCGUCUUGAAANNNGGACCAAGGAGUUNAGCAUGUGCGCAAGUCAAUGGGUGUUACGAAACCUAAGGGCGCAGUGAAAGUAAAGGUCUAUUUAAUAGNCUGAGGUGAGAUCCUGAUUUCAUAGUGCUUGCACUGGAGUUGGGCGCAUCACCAGCUCGUGCCAUGCUUUAUUAAGCGGUGCGACGCAAGAGCGUACAUGCUGAGACCCGAAAGAUGGUGAACUAUGCUUGAGCAGGUUGAAGCCAGAGGAAACUCUGGUGGAGGACCGUAGCGAUUCUGACGUGCAAAUCGAUCGUCAAACUUGAGUAUAGGGGCGAAAGACUAAUCGAACCAUCUAGUAGCUGGUUCCCUCCGAAGUUUCCCUCAGGAUAGCUGGCACUCGGGAAACAAACAGUUUUAUCCGGUAAAGCGAAUGAUUAGAGGUAUUGGGGAGAAAUUAUCCUCAACCUAUUCUCAAACUUUAAAUGGGUGAGAAGCUUAACUCGUUUAAUUAGAGUUGGGCAUUGAAUGUGAGUGCCUAGUGGGCCAUUUUUGGUAAGCAGAACUGGCGCUGUGGGAUGAACCAAACGUUCGGUUAAGGUGCCUAACACAAGGCUCAUGAGAUACCACAAAAGGUGUUGGUUGAUAUAGACAGCAGGACGGUGGCCAUGGAAGUCGGUAACCGCUAAGGAGUGUGUAACAACUCACCUGCCGAAUCAACCAGCCCUGAAAAUGGAUGGCGCUGGAGCCUUGGACCUAUACCGGACCGACAGUGUAAUGCAUCGGUUGCUGUACGCAUUGUCGAGUAGGAGGGUGCUGUGGUGANCGUUGAAGCUUUGNCGNGACAUGGACUGGAGUCGGGGCGGGUGCNUAUCUUGGGGGAA
rnacentral:rRNA from 1 species